rnacentral:rRNA from 1 species
UGGGGAAUUUUGGACAAUGGGCGAAAGCCUGAUCCAGCAAUGCCGCGUGUGUGAAGAAGGCCUUCGGGUUGUAAAGCACUUUUGUCCGGAAAGAAAUCCUUGGCUCUAAUACAGUCGGGGAUGACGGUACCGGAAGAAUAAGCACCGGCUAACUACGUGCCAGCAGCCGCGGUAAUACGUAGGGUGCAAGCGUUAAUCGGAAUUACUGGGCGUAAAGCGUGCGCAGGCGGUUUGCUAAGACCGAUGUGAAAUCCCCGGGCUCAACCUGGGAACUGCAUUGGUGACUGGUAGGCUAGAGUAUGGCAGAGGGGGGUAGAAUUCCACGUGUAGCAGUGAAAUGCGUAGAGAUGUGGAGGAAUACCGAUGGCGAAGGCAGCCCCCUGGGCCAAUACUGACGCUCAUGCACGAAAGCGUGGGGAGCAAACAGGAUUAGAUACCCUGGUAGUCCACGCCCUAAACGAUGUCAACUAGUUGUUGGGGAUUCAUUUCCUUAGUAACGUAGCUAACGCGUGAAGUUGACCGCCUGGGGAGUACGGUCGCAAGAUUAAAACUCAAAUGAAUUGACGGGGUCAUAGCUGUUUCCU